rnacentral:sRNA from 1 species
ACUUCAGCCGCCAUCUUGGAAGCGACCGCGGGCGCCUAGAACUGUGUUUCAGAAAAAAGAAACUACGGUUUUAGCAUGCAGAAAGGAAAAGGGAGAACAAGCCGGAUCAGAAGACGAAAACUCUGCAGAAGUUCUGAAUCAAGAGGAGUGAAUGAGAGCCACAAGUCUGAAUUUAUAGAGCUGAGGAAGUGGCUGAAAGCUAGGAAGUUUCAAGAUUCAAACUUAGCGCCUGCUUGUUUUCCAGGUACAGGAAGAGGGCUGAUGAGUCAAACAUCCCUGCAGGUGGAAGCCUCCUCCAUCUCCUCUGCUGGCGCUGUGCACCUUUUUAGUUUCAGAAAAGCAUGCUGGGGACCGAUCUCUUUGGAAGCCUUACCUGGAGAUUUUACCCAAGGCCUAUACCUGCCCUGUUUGUUUGGAGCCGGAAGUGGUGAACCUUCUUCCCCAAUCUUUAAAAGCAAAGGCUGAAGAGCAGAGAGCCCACGUGCAGGAGUUCUUUGCUUCCUCCAGAGACUUUUUCUCUUCUCUGCAGCCUCUGUUUGCGGAGGCUGUUGACAGCAUCUUCAGCUACAGUGCCCUGCUGUGGGCUUGGUGCACCGUCAACACCAGAGCCGUGUACCUGAGGCCCAGGCAUCGGGAAUGCCUUUCUGCAGAGCUGGACACCUGUGCGCUCGCUCCGUACCUGGACCUGCUGAAUCAUAGCCCACAUGUCCAGGUAAAAGCAGCAUUUAAUGAAGAAACUCACUCUUACGAAAUUAGAACGACUUCACGUUGGAGAAGGCAUGAAGAGGUAUUCAUCUGUUACGGCCCUCACGAUAAUCAACGGCUGUUCCUGGAAUAUGGAUUUGUUUCCGUCCAUAAUCCUCAUGCUUGUGUUUAUGUCUCAAGAGAAAUACUUGUUAAAUAUCUUCCAUCAACAGAUAAACAGAUGGACAAAAAGAUUUCUAUUUUAAAGGAUCAUGGCUAUAUAGAAAAUUUGACAUUUGGAUGGGAUGGACCAUCUUGGAGGCUACUCACAGCCCUUAAGUUGUUAUGUCUGGAAGCUGAAAAAUUUACAUGCUGGAAAAAAGUACUUCUUGGGGAGGUAAUUUCAGAUACGAAUGAGAAGACAAGUUUGGACAUAGCCCAGAAAAUAUGCUAUUAUUUCAUAGAAGAGACUAAUGCUGUGCUUCAAAAGGUGUCUCAUAUGAAGGAUGAAAAAGAGACUCUGAUAAACCAACUAACUUUGGUGGAAUCCUUGUGGACAGAAGAGCUAAAGAUUCUCAGGGCAUCUGCUGAGACCCUGCACAGUUUGCAAACAGCUUUUACCUGAUUUCACCAAAGCGCGUUUGGUCACCUCCUCUGGAACAGAAGUUAAUUUGAAGAGUGUCAUCAUGGAUUGGGGUGGUGGCUGCCCCCAGGACAUGCAGGAUUUCUGCAGGGGGCAGCACAGGUUCUGGAAUUGUGAGGCUGUGAGUGAAGGUGGACAAGCUGUCUGGAUGGCAGGUCUAAUGCUCUUCCGAAUAAAGUGCUGAACUGUGAGGAGAGAAGCGGACUGUGAGGCAGCCAGGAGCCAGCUGCGUCCGUGGGUGGUCUGUCACCAUGGGGCCUGCUUCUUAUCUGACACAGCAGCUAUCAGAGUCUAGCGGUUGUGCUUUUAAGAUGCUCUGAUACCAUUGGGUUAAGGGGCAGAUUGGUGGUGGGUGUGGGGCAGUGUGAGGUAGUCCUGGGUCCCCACCAGGGUGGCCCAGCCACCAGCCCAUUCCCUGUGUGGCUGCACUGAGGUGAGUGUUGAAGAGCCCCCUAGGGGACACACGGCUUCCGGGAGGAGGGAAUGUCCUCUAAGUAUGCUCCUGGCCUCUCAAGGCGGCGCUUGUCUAAUUAUUCCCCUGGGAAGAAUGGCGGCUCUUUCUGCUUUGUUCUGGCGACUUUCCUGGGCAGGCCUUUCCACCUGGGGAGCUGGCUCAUCCUGCACAGCUGCGCCGUGGUGGGCCUGUCUGCUUGAUUCUGGGGUUCAGUGUAGGUCAGCUGAUGGCAAACCAUGGUGGUGGUUUGGCCUCUGUUCUUACUCUUGAGUUUUGAUACUGCUUAGACCUUGGGUGGGGAGAAGGGGAUGCUUCCUGCACGGCUCUCAGUGGCCUGUGGCCUUGGGACUGCCUGCGUAAGUAACGGAGGGGCUGCUCAUCCUGUUCAGGCCUGUGCCGGGGACGCCGCUUAGACAAUGUUGCCCAGAGUCCUGUUUACCCUCCUAGGGUUCAUUCUUCCCAAGAACUCAAAUUCCUUUCUCAUUGGAGCCUAGCGAAACCAAAUGAACGGGGCCUGCUGGCCUCAGGAGGCAGGCAGAGUUUAAAAUAAAACUUUCUCCUGAUUUCUUGAACAUCUUUCCCUGUUUGUAUAUACAGUUUGUGUUUAUUUUUCGGUAGUUGCAGUAUAUUUCUUUUUUUCAAUAUUCAGUAUAAUGCAGUGUAUUUCAUCAUGUGCUGUAUGGAGAGUGGGCAGACUUCUGUGGAGGGUCCGAUAGUAACCAUUUGAAGCUUUCUGGACCUGUGGUCUUAGUCCCAGCGAUUCUGCAGAGCGGCCAUCGGCAGCAUGUCAACCAUUUGCACGGCUGGGCUCCAGGGAAACUAUUGACAACGACAGGUGGCGGGCCGUAGUUUCCUGACCCCUGUGCUAUGCCGGAAUUUCUUUUUCCUCUUCCCUAUGAGUGGACCUAAAUAUGUUAAUUCCUUUACACCUUUCAAAACGGACAGCCCCUUGAACAUUAAAAACUUUGCAGACCCUA